GAUUCAGUCUUGACUAUCUUAGGUGUCAGUUGUGCAGAAUGAUGUCCUUGCGGUGUUUGUCCACUAUAUGGAGCUCUGACUCCAUUCAAUCCCACAGUCA